rnacentral:rRNA from 1 species
GACGAAGGUGGCGAGCGUUGUUCGGAAUUACUGGGCGUAAAGGGCGCGCAGGCGGCCGGCCAAGUCAGGCGUGAAAGCCCCGGGCUUAACCUGGGAAUUGCGUCUGGGACUGGUUGGCUAGAGAUCGGGAGAGGAGAGUGGAAUUCCCAGUGUAGAGGUGAAAUUCGUAGAUAUUCGGAAGAACACCAGUGGCGAAGGCGGCUCACUGGCCCGUUACCGACGCUCAGGCGCGACAGCGUGGGGAGCAAACAGG